AUAGAAUUUAAUUUGAAAAACAUUCAUAUAAGCAGAUUUAUCAUGGCUUAGUGUGAGAAAGGGGGAGAGAAGGUAAAACGAGGAAGAAGAGCCGCGAAAGCGAAGAAGUGAGCAUUGAUGCAGAGAGGAGCUGAGGAGAGAUUUGUCAAGGAAUGUUGAUUGUGUGCGAGAGAGAGGAGAGACAGACCUUCAAAGUUAUAGGAUGCAAGAUCACUGGGAGCACAGGUCGGGAAUCAGCUUGUAUGGGGUAGGCAAGAACAGCCCUUCCUCGGGGCUCAGACAUCUCUGUGAGACUUACUUCCGAGUUGCUGAUGCGGUAUUCUGGAUUCGGGGCUGUGCAGUUGAGGGUCAUUGCCACACCAAGAAAGUAUAGCUGGAGCCUGAAGCAAGUGGAAUCUCCAAUGAGCUUUAUAAGGCAACUCGUUUAGUUUUUAUGGAUCAAGUGAUUUUCUGUUGUUUGUAUAUAUGUUUGCCUUUUAAGUAUUUGCUGCAGUCCAUGGACUUCUUUAUACACGUUUUAUUCAGAAAAUGCUUGAAGACGAAGGUGGGGCUUUCCGCCUGUUCCAACAGGCAACAGGCAUUUUAAAGUUUUUUUUUCCCUUCAAAUGGCCUAAUAUUACUGCAUCUUUGUAAAAAAAUCCAUUUUGUUUAAUUCAUUUAAAAUUAAUGCUUUGUUCUUCCAUUUACAUCUCUUUCAUGAAUAUUUAACAUCUAUGAUUUGUUUGUCCUACGUUGGCCUUCUUUACAAAAUUUACAUUGAAAUCGUGGAAAGCAUCUGAAAUAUUAAAAAAGAGAAGUUUGAUUAUUUUCAAAUGCUUUUCAUUAUUUUCUGUGGACAAUGACAAGACUACUCCCCGUUCCAUGCAUCUGGGGUCCAAGAUCAAGCAGUGGAACUUGUGAGAAGGCCAAACCAAAGAGAGCACUGAGAGUAAGAGUGUGGUAAUGGGUCCGCAUGCAGGCAGCCUUUUCUGUGUUAAAGACUUGUGGUGUCUCCAGGUUCUUGAAAGAUAAUGUGCAUCAUAUAUAUUUUCAAUGCAACAUGCAUAACAUACAAAAUAUUCUUUACGUACAUAUAUAUCAAUCAAGCACGAGAAUUCCUUUUUUCUUCCACUAGUUUCCUUGCUUUUUUAACAUAUUCUUGUUCACAUUCAACUCCAUGUCUCUGCAAUCUAGUGUCUGUGGCUAAUAGUUUGGGUCAUGACACUAUAUUAUGUCGUUCGCAAGAGUGGUAGAUCUUGAGUAUAGUACAUAUUGCUUUGUUCUGUUUCGAUUCCAUAUCUAUGUUUCUCAUAUUGAGUUCUGCUGACGGUGAUUGGUGUGAUUUGCUUGUUUGAUUAUCUUAGCCAAGUUCGGUUCACAAGUAGUUCAAUGUAGUUGAUAUUAAGUCAUAUCAUACAUUGCUAAGUAAACAACAACACACGUGCACAAGACUCCCGCAGUAGGCGGGUUGGAGGCAUGUAAGAUGUACAGAUAUCUUACUCCCACAUAAUAUGUGGAGAGUUUGUUUCCAAUAAUUGAUCAUGCAACCUUUAGGUUGCACCUCUGUUGCAACUUCAUCAUAGGGUCACAUGUUCACCUGAAAUUUCAGGAUACUUAGAAACCAAAUGCAUACCCUUUUGACAGAAAUUAAUGGUCAGUUUGGGAAACCCAUUAGUUUAAGUGUGUGAAACAUAAGUGGAACAAACAAAAAAUAUUUUCUGUGGGGUAAGUGUGGAUAAUUUUAUUUAUGUUUUGUGUAUAGUUGAGUGAAAAAGGGGAUGAAGGGUGAAGCAUUGCAAUAGUUGUUGUAUAGUGAGUUUGCGAAUGGAGUUAGGAAGUUUACACAUAGCAAGCACUGGGUCUGAUUGUAGUGGAGAUUUCGGUGUCGUUUUGUGAUAGAUUACGGAUUCAUACGCAGAUCUACCAAAAACAAUAUGGUGGGAGGGGCAUGAGGCUGAGGGGAGGGACCUACCCACUCAUUUUUUUCUCCCAUUAUAUAUAUGUACUUAAAAAUGGAAGUGGGAAUGGAUUUACCCUCCUCUCUGUUGUCUUUUUGUCUUGUGAACUCUCUCACUUCACUUCCUCCUAAUAACUGUUACUUUUCACUACCUUAAUUAAGGUUUUGACCACCUCUUGAUAUCUUCAAUGAUUGUUACUUGGUAUCUAACCCACUAGAGAUGUUAUGCUUUUUUUAACAAAGAAAACACGAGUAUUACCUCUUGAUAUCUUCAAUGAUUGUUACUUGGUAUCUAACCCACUAGAGAUGUUAUGCUUUUUUUAACAAAGAAAACACGAAUAUUUUGGUUCCACAUGAAGUUGUUUCUGGUGUGUAGAGAAGGCCUUAUGUCUCUAAAUAUUAAGUUUAAUUGUAGGGUUUUAGCGGGAUGGGGACUCGAACUUGGGUAUCACCAAGUGGAGUAUAUGCCUUAACCACUUUGGAUGAGGGGUUGUUGGCGAGUUGAUCUCAAUUCCUUAAAUUGGAAAGCUCGAUUUCCGUCUAAUCUAACCAUCCGGAGACACAGAGAUGCCUUGCCUAUGUAGUUUUAAGCAUUUCUUGCUCUUUCAAGUAGGAUUAGUAGGUUUCUGGAACAAAUUAAUACGUUGUUUGUUUUCCUAGUUUGAUGUAUUAUAUCAUAUAUAUAUAUAUUGUCAAGGUGGGAAACAAAGUCGUUAUCUUGAUGAGAACUGUUAAAUCAAAUGAUUUUUUUAUAUGUAUCUUUUGAGGCUGAAUAUUUACAUGGACUCCACUUGGAAAUGGUAUUGUAUGAUGCUUUCCAAUGGUGAUGAAUAACUCCAAUUGCAAUGAAUGAUCACAUCAUAUUUUCGAAUGAUUUUUCUGUUCAUGUGUUUUGUUUUCUACUGUGGCAUAUAGGACAUGAAAGCACCAGGAGUUUUGUCCUGUAUAUUAAAGGACACCAUGUCUUAGGGCUUUGAUAAAGAUGUAUGUACUUGUGUUUGUACACACUACGCACUGUCUACUUAUGAUUGAAUGUUUUCAUGUGAAACAAAUGCAUCUGUCAAACGCACAACGUUCGGAUAAAAAAAAAACGUUGGCCGAGCGGUGCGUAACAGUAUCUCAG